CAAAGGGCAGCCAUCAUCAUCAUCAUCACCCAAACGUAAACAAACCCAGCCUGGCGGACACGUGCUGGACCGCCUGGCACACCAAUACAUAGACCACACUGACCUCCUCUGACAGUCCUCCAACACACACUGGAGUAACGGCUGACCUCAGACAGCUCACGGUACAGACACUCCCCCAGCCGUCCCCUGGACACACCCGCUUGAGGACUGGCCACACCCGCCUCACCUGCACAGACUGUCCAGGACCCAUACACACACACCAGAACACCCCCUCCUGCACUGCCCAAGAUUCCACGCACCAACCUCAAGGCAUCCCUGACCAGCCUCCGCAUCCACCCUGGAGGACCUGCUGGGCAGCCACACCCUCAGCCCUAACACCCAAGCCUUCCAAGUGUACCUUCCUGCAGAAGGAGGGGCGGCAACUCGACAGGAUCUAACCCCACCCUGGUGACAGAACGGCAAACAAAACCUGAUACCAACUACCACUGAAGGGGCUGUGGAGGCUGUGGCCCCACAGCCCCAUAAAACACCCAAGAAGAAGAAGAAGGUGGACCCCGCCAGCCAUCCAGCGCCCCUUCUCUCCCUCCUCCUACUGGUGACGGGAGAAGACAGGAGGAUGAGGAGGAGAGAAGGAGGAGGAGGAGGAGGAGGAGGAGUGCCUGAUCCAGCAAGGUGAUUCACUGUCACCUGUCACUGUCCGUCCACCCUCAGGAAAGCCCUUUGAGAUCCAGCUCUGAAGAAGGAAGUCCAUCUUGGAAGCCCCAAGAACCAGUCACCCCAGUCCAAGAAAAGGUCGCAAGAGGUCAAGAAGGUCACAUUGUGAAGGAGCAGUCCAGUCAACCAGUCACUUAAGUUAUUGGAAAGGGAAGGGAAGGGAUAGGAAAGAGAAGGGAAGGAAAGAGAAGGGAAGGGAAGAGAGAGGAGAGAGAAGGGAAGGGAAGGGAAGGAAUCAACAGAGAAGUACAUAUAUAUAUAGUUCAUCUUAGUCACAUACAGUCUGAUACACACAGUUACACUCACAUAGAUUUACAUACAGUUUUGACGGUGCGUUUGACGAAGGCGUAUGACUCAGUACAUUGCUGAUUGGCCCGGCCCACCGUGUUAUGGACUCGCUCAACACAAAUACAGGAAACCCUUGAUAUAACGGACUUAUUUUUAUUUUUAUUUAUUUUUUAUUUUUUACAUCAGAGGACACGGCUCAAGGGCAAUAAAAAGAGUAUUGUGUCCUUGAAGAGGUCGCGUAAAUCAAAAACAAUGUAAAUCAAACAUGAGGUGGGUUUCUAUCGAAAAAUAAAUAUUCACUUCAUUCAGUGGAGAGAGAGAGAGAGAGAGCGAGAGAAUAUCCAUAUCACCGAAAUAUCCACUCAGGCACUCUCAGCCUCACUGGUGUGAGGAAGAAAUGAGGGACAUCAUGAGCGACUGGCUAGUAUUGGUGUCGGUACUGAGGAGUCUGGUGCUGGUACCGUACCGUAUAGCUGGUACAGUUAGUACCUACCCAGUGCCCACCCCUAUUGUUGAGUAGCAUGGCAGCAUGGGUACUGUAUUGUUGUUCAAGUGGCGCGCGGGAAGAACUGAUCUCAGAUGUGUGGCCGCGGCGCCGUGUGAGUCCAGUUGCGUGAGACAUCUGGUGGCCACUCCAUAAAAUAUCCCGUAUAAGUGAAAAACGUGUAAAUUAAACAUUUAUUUGGAUUUUGGACCCCGCGUUAUUUCAAAAACGCAUAAACCAAAGUCGCGUAAAUCGAGAGUUACCUGUACAAAAAAAGCCCGCUACUCACCACUCCUAUAAAAGAUAAAAGUAAAGAGUAGCCAAAAGAGAAGUCAAUUUCAGGUGGAGAGGUGUCUUGAUACACUCGCAAUUUUGGGGGGAACUCAGUCCGUAAGUGCCGAAAGUCCGU